GGAAGGACCAGCCCCGGGACUGUUUGUGUGGCUGCAGGGAUGGCCCUCGUCCUUGCUGGGGUCUGCUGGCAUUGUAUUAAGACCUGGAAAACGUUUCUUCUCUUUCUACUUUCCUGGAUGAGUUGGGAAACAUUGGUGUCGACAUUUCCCCCAUAUGUGGAAGAGUUGUCAGCUUCUGUUUUCCUGCUCCUGGGGUCAGAGAAGCUGCGGAAUAACAGCCCAGUGCUUGCUGGCUCAGUGGACCGCCCAGCCGCCAGCACUGCCGUUCCCGGGCAGAGGCUUCACUGAUGUGGCUUGUAUUGAGUUCUUUGGAUCAAAUCUUGCUGGAGACCUCUGACUUACCCAUUCCUGGGUGUCUACAGCUACCCUGGGGAUGGAAAGGUAGGCUAUUCUCCUCCCCUCCUUCCCUCUCUCCCUUCUUUCCCUCCUUCCCUCUCCCCU